UGGCCGGUACAAAGGGCUGCGAUGCCGCAAGGUUAAGCGAAUCCUUUUAAAGCCGGUCUCAGUUCGGAUUGGGGUCUGCAACUCGACCCCAUGAAGUCGGAGUCGCUAGUAAUCGCAGAUCAGCAACGCUGCGGUGAAUACGUUCCCGGGCCUUGUACACACCGCCCGUCAUGUCAUGAAAGUCGGUAACACCCGAAGCCAGUGGCCUAACCCUUGGGAGGGAGCUGUCGAAGGUGGGAUCGGCGAUUGGGACGAAGUCGUAACAAGGUAGCCGUACCGGAAGGUGCG
rnacentral:rRNA from 1 species